rnacentral:rRNA from 1 species
GCAGAACGCGAAGAACCUUACCCAGGUUUGACAUCUUCGGAAGGCUUCCGAAAGGAAACUGUGCCGUAAGGAACCGAAUGACAGGUGAUGCAUGGCCGUCGUCAGCUCGUGUCGUGAGAUGUUUGGUUAAGUCCAUCAACGAGCGCAACCCUUAUAGUUAGUUGUAUUUUUCUAGCUAGACUGCCCUGGUAACAGGGAGGAAGGGGGGAUGAUGUCAGGUCAGUAUUUCCCUUACAUCUGGGGCUACAAACACGCUACAAUGGCCGGUACAAAGGGCAGCCAAGUCGCGAGACGGAGCAAAUCCCAUCAAAGCCGGUCCCAGUUCGGAUAGCAGGCUGAAACUCGCCUGCUUGAAGCCGGAAUCGCUAGUAAUCGCAGAUCAGCAUUGCUGCGGUGAAUACGUUCCCGGGUCUUGUACACACCG